GACGGAGGAUGCAAGUGUUAUCCGGAAUCACUGGGCGUAAAGCGUCUGUAGGUCGUUUAAAAAGUCUACUGUUAAAAAAUUGAGGCUUAACUUCAAAGGUGCCGUAGAAACUUUUAAACUUGAGGAUGGUAGGGGUAGAGGGAAUUUCCAGUGGAGCGGUGAAAUGCGUAGAUAUUGGAAAGACCACCAACAGCGAAGGCACUCUACUGGGCCAUUACUGACACUGAGAGACGAAAGCUAGGGGAGCAAAUGGG
rnacentral:rRNA from 1 species